AUUUGACUUGGAAAAUUGGAUGCAUGUAGCUUGUCAAUCACCACUCUUCCGGGGUUCGAGAGAACAAGCUGUUCAAGAAAUGAACAAGGCUUCUGAGCAACUCAUCCAAGGCAUGGAUGCCACUGGUGUCAAUGUCAGUAACAGCUGCAAGUAGAAAAGAAGAAACACGAGGAGUCGCUAAGUAGGAUAACAUGCUCUUAAUUUCAGCGACAAAUUAAGGAAGUCAUUGAGCCAACAAUAUUCAUAGCUCCAAGUGCCACCAUCUCUUUGUUUCCGUCCAACUGGUAGUCCUUCAUUGAAGCAAAG